rnacentral:lncRNA from 1 species
AUGGACUUCAAAACUCACAUUGUUCUAAACGGUGUGAGAAUUUCAGCAGAAAUGAAAAAGACAGCAGGGACCAGAGUCACUGCAAAGGUAUUACAACACUGUGCAAAGAAACACAAGACAAGAGGCCAUCUUACUCCUUUAGAAGAGUUUGAAAAUUUGACUGUGUCUUGGCCAGCACUGAGAAAAAAAAGUGCAAUAAAAGGAUUCUGUUAAAAUCUGCAGAAGCUGAGAUCCAGCCAAAAGCAAGGCAGCAUGAAAAUAAGUGCCUGCUCAUGAAGGAUGUGUGACAUAGAUGACCUCAGAUAUUUGCAGUCAUCCAGUCUGGAGAGGUAAUAAAAAAGUACUGUUUUUCA